UACGGAGGGUGCAAGCGUUGUCCGGAAUCACUGGGUUUAAAGGGUGCGUAGGCUGCUGCAUAAGUCAGGGGUGAAAGUUUGUCGCUUAACGAUAGAAUUGCCUUUGAUACUGUGCGGCUUGAAAUUAGGUGAGGUUGGCGGAAUGUGACAUGUAGCGGUGAAAUGCGUAGAUAUGUCAUAGAACACCGAUUGCGAAGGCAGCUGGCUAACCUAAAUUUGACGCUGAGGCACGAAAGCGUGGGGAGCGAACAGG
rnacentral:rRNA from 1 species